CCCAGCCGCCCGAGAUUUUGCAUUUCUAAGCAGCUCCCAGGUAUUGCUGCUGGUUGGAGGACCACCAUUUGAGUAGCAAGACCCUAAAACGCCCAGGAUGGUGCCUCAACAUAAACAAGUAAAACUUUAUAUUGGUAGUAGUUCCAACCAAAUUUCUCCUGUGAGAACCUGACCCCUUCAAGUAAAUCCUAUCUCACGAUCAAAGGUAAGUCCUCUCCCCUUGGGUCAUGACACUGCCCUCUAAACUAAUUGAAGCCUGAGGACAUGAUUCUGUUAUAAUGCAAUUGUUUGAAUUUGUGUUUAAAUUGGAGCAGUCUGAGUGGUUUUACUAAUGUCAUUUGAGAGGACUGGUGAAUUAUUUGGGUGUGCAUGGCCCAGCCCUGAUACGCUAGGCCACUCUUGGUAAGAGCCACAGUUAAUACUAGCUGAUCCCAUAAACGGGAGCCCACACUAGCCUGCACAGAGUGUGGAGAGCCAUAACUCGCCUUCUGGAUAAGGGGCCCUCACUUUUCUCCCAGAUGGGUUAAGUAGGUGGAGGCAGAAACCAAGCUUACUUUUGUUGACCUGUGUCCAGUUAAGUCUCUGUUCCCUGUAAGAAGUCCUGCUCAGAGGCCAAAAGCCCUACCUUAGUUUCACCUUCAAAACUAGGAAAAUCAGUCUUUGACUAUACUAAGCAGACUUAAAUAAAUGCUUUUGAACCAGGAGGUUCAGACCAGAAGGAUUGGUGGGCAUGAAUGAAGCUACAGAAAUGUCUGACUGGUCUCAUGGCCUGGCACCGAUAGAAGGCCAGUCCAGCCUCUCAGGACCUCGGUUUGCUUAUCAGCAAAAUCAAGGUGUUGGACUGGAGGCUUCUUAUCAGCGCUAAGAGUCUGUGGUUCUGAUCACCAUAUCAGGGAAAGGCACGGGAGACAAGAAUUCCACACUUGGCUCCGUAACAGCACAAUGUGACUGGGAGCCUCUUGGUGGGCUCUUCUCUUGCUGGUCUCAGCCCCAGUGCCUGUCCUAACCAGGCGCUAAGUUACCCUUUCCUAGACAAUUGGGUGCCUCAGAUCCGCCAGCCUGGUGUAGAAAGACUUGAAAAGAUGUACCCUGUGCUGCCACCUAAUGGCUCCAAUUCUCUCAAAGCGAUUCUUCAGCACCAUUUGGAUGUUACAGAAUCUCUAGGCCCUCUAUAAAACACAAUCCACCAGCGAUGAGAACCUAGGGUGAGAGAACAAACAUAGGGUACCUCCAGGGGCCACCUCAUCACGGGAGUCAGGGACUAUGACUGUAAGAACCAUAACUUUUUUUUUUUUAACUUGGUGAUUUCCUCCUUGUUAUUUCCUGUCUGUUUCCCCGUAAUGAUUAACAGUAAAACUCUAAAAACAAAAAGGGCCAAGGUGUUUGUUUUCAAGGGCAGCAAGGAAGCAAGGAACUGGGGGAGACAGCACUCCAGGGGUUGGGGUAAACAACUCCAGGGGAUGGAGUGGGUGGAAGGAGCUGAAUAGCUGGAAGGAAAGCAGGUUGAGUCCUCAGGCUCAUUUGAAAAAGGAAAGAGGGGGUGGAAUAAAGUUGUGUUCUAGUGGGAAUGAAGGUAACGGUCUUAAUAGCAUUGUCAUUCUUUCCUGUUUUGUCUUCAGAUGAACCAGUCUAUUUUCAAUCCAAGAAGAUGAAGCAAAUGGAUAGCUGUAGACUAGUGUUCUAGUUCAGGGGCCUUUGUAGGAAAUGAUACUCCUAGAGUGAAGAUCCCAAAUACAGAAGUCUCCAGAAGGGCCAGGCAGAUAAGGUGAAAGCCUUGAAUACAUUCAUUCAAUAAAUCAAGAAGCAUUGAUUGAGCACCUAAUAUAUGCGAAGUAACGUUCAAGAAAAACACAUCACCUUGGGAUCCAAUUUUGCAAGUUCUGCUUAUCACAGGAACUAGAAGACUCUGAUGAAUGAGGAUGGGACUUCAGUUCUUGUCCAUGGUGUGAAUAAAAAGUCGACUCUGCCUUUUUUGGUCUGUCCCAUUGACAUCUAUCGUUAAAGAGAUCUGUCAGGACCUUUUAAUGCCAUUUAGUUCCUAUGUACAAAACACUAGACUAGGCACUGCUGCUGCUGGGAAGAUUGCAGCUGGAUCUUUUUAAGCUUGUCACACGAGCUCUUUAGGUAGUGAUUCUGGUGGGCUACAACGUCAUGGCAAGUCAGCAGAGAGCCCCUUGAGUCAAGACCCUGAAAUUCCUGAUAGACCUGCCUUCCACUUGCUAGAUGUUCUUUAUUAUGGUGAAUUCCAGAGGCAAUUCCUUAAUCUCUCUGAACUUCAGUUUUCUAAUCAGUUCAUACAAGGCUGGUGUCAAAGGGCUAUUGUAAAGAUUAAAAGAGAUAGUGCACGCCUAACUUUUGGCACGGUGUCUGGCACUUAGUAAGAAAGCCACAAUAAAAACAAAGGCUAAAACAUUCUGUAAAACUGUGUUGUUUUACAUCUUAAUGGCUAAAUAGGACUGUUCCUGGCAUACAGCCACACAUCAUAAAAUACUUCGGCCUGCAGCUGCUAUUCCACUAGCUAGAGGUGAAGGCAAACAGUUCUGACCAGUAUCUACCUAACUCUUUAAAGUCAGUGAGGUCCUCUUCCUCCCUCUCAGCCUUGGUGGGGACCCCACACCUGGUUCCCACACUCCUGGGUGCAGUGUCUGUCUGGAGGAAGGCUAAGCGAGGGGGGGCUGGAAUGCCUGCAACGGCUGGUGGGACCACCGAGGGGACAGAGUUGGACCUAUCCUGGCAUCUUUAGCUUCUCUGGAACCUGGAGCCCACACCUCCCUAGCACAGUCUGCUCACUGAACACCUAAACACCUGGGUUCUCUCCCACCACCACCCAUCAUUGGUCAGUCAUCAG